CUGCCACCCCUGCCCGCCGCGCUGACCCCGCAACCCGCGGUGGCCCCGGCCCCUCCGCUCAGCCGGGCGACAGAGACGCGCUUCCACCUUCUCCUUUCCACCGUAAGUAGGAAAAAAAAAAAAGAAAAUGCAAGGAAAGAAAAGAAAAAGGCCGAUAACCUAAGCGCUACUCCAGCUUCGUUCAUGAUACAACCACCUGGAAGCAAAGGAGUGCGCCGCGCAGUCUCAGAGGGCCUUUUUGCUGGGCACAGCUGGAAUUUGAGUGUACAUCCUCAUACCUCCUUUCCCCGCCCUUACUUAUUUUUACAUCAGCAGCAAAGUUGGAGGAGACGUGGAAUUUGCUUUACAGAAAUAAAUCUGUUAGAGGAAACCUUUCGUUGCCCGUUCUGACUCCUGGCAUUACCCAAAUUGCGCAUCUCUUAAGGGAAAAGCGAGACACAGCAACUUUCUCUGACAUUUGUGCCCUGCACAAACUCUUUAGGAGGCCACAGGAGCUGGAAUAACACUUCCUAUGUACCUCUAUGCAGUUUGGGAGCCAGCAGCGGUAAGGAAUAAUAGGAAUACGGAAUUAUUGGAAGCAUGCCUCCAUCUUGGCCUAACUCCUGCCAAAGGGCAGUACCUCCCCGGCAGGUAUGGUGCUUCACACUGAUGUGCCAAGUCUCCAAUCGACUUCCGAAUCACCACCCAAAGUCGCCUGUACAUGUUCGCAGGCUUGCACGCCAGGAUCGCAUCUCAUGCACCGAGGACGUCUCAAGCACAAAAGGAAGCACACAGGCACGGAAGAGCGGCGAACAACCCCCGACCCACCCGAGCUGCAACGCAGACCCCGCUCUCCACCUGCCCUAGCGUUCCACGAGGGGUGUUUGCUCCCCGGGCUUCCAAACACCCCGAGGCGGGUACGCCCAUCUCCUGCCUGCACAGACACGAGGGAUGCCCCACGUUGUGAGCGCAGAUGCGGCCCCGCGGGGCGAAGGGCACCGAGCUGCUGGGAGAGAAGUUGACGGAACCUGAAGGCGGCCACGGGAAGUCGCUCCCCCCGCGGGGCCGGGAACCUCCAUCUCCAUCCAAGGAU
rnacentral:lncRNA from 1 species